GUGACUAAACCAAUGAAAUCUGAGCUAAUCCUUUCUCCUCCCUUCUUUCUAAGUGGACACUCCCGCUUAAAAUAUCCUACUACACCACAUUUGUAGCACUUUCUAGCCUCCUUACUGCUGUCCUUCUGAGACUAUCCCCAUCCCAUCUGCUCACCCUUCUUCUUUCCUUUCUUGGGCCUCUCUGAAACUGCAAGACCCUCUUGAAAGAUCUCCUUCUUCAUUAUCCAUUCCCGCUGUUCAUUGGACCUUAGCACUGA
rnacentral:lncRNA from 1 species